rnacentral:lncRNA from 1 species
CGUAGAUGAUAUAACAAUUUAUACAUAAUGAAAUGCGAUGUGCUCAUAGAAUAUUAUACAAUAUAUGUUCUACAUAGUAUUUAUAGAACAAUAAUGACAAUUACUAAAUUGUAUUAGGUAUCCAGUACUUGCUGAUUUGUGUCCAUAUCAGCAAUAACAACGAUAUUUUGUUAGAAGCAGAGACUUCCUAAUUUGGAAGUAUGGGGAAUGCUAGGGAAAACUGAUGCAGGCAUAAAGGCAGCAUCUGGAGAGAAAGGAAACAACACUUUCAAUACUAAUUUUAUAAGCAGGUAGUGCCAAGGAAUCCAAUUAGAUCAACAGGUACAUGUGACAGGAAUCAAGGAAACAGAUCCUUCCAUCUGACCCAUCCCACUGGAGAUGGUGGGUAAACUUAAUUAGUUUGCUUGGUCCUCUACUUGUUGAUUUCUGUCCACAUAUCAAUGAGGAGUUCAAUAUAUAGAGUGAAAACCUAACCUAUCAUAGGUCUCUUGUUUUAUAAGAUAUUGCUAUGAGGAUUACAGAAUAACCUGAACAACAAGGUAAUAGUGGCCUCUAAGGCAGCAUUAGUCAUAAAAGUAGCAAAAAAAAAAAAAAAAAAAAAAAAAAGAAAGAAAAUGGGAAGAGUAAAAAAGUGAAUAGCACCAUAAGUGAUGAGAGACAUUCUUGCUUCCUAUUUUUUUUAUGCUUCUCUGGCUAUUUCUCUACUAAUGUAUUCAGAGCAACAGUUACCAACUGUGUACCUCUCCACCAUAUAAUUCUGUUCCUUAGGGUUUUUCUUUCCUUUCCUAGUAGAUAUACCUAAGAAAUAGUCAAAUAAUAAUUCACAAAACCUAAUCCAGCCCCUUAGUUCUUUAGAAUCUGUUAUAGUAACUGGCAUCUGGUGACCUGAACUGAGCUGAUAAAUUUGAUCAAAUCUAUGACAUCAUCAAUGAUAUGCACCAUUAUUUUAUUCAUCAGUAAAGAAGAAAACAAUCCUACUAAUUAAAUUGUAGCAAAUAAUCUAUUUAAAGAUAUCCCAAUUUCAGAAAGGUUAAAAUGCAAAAAAAAAAAGUCUUAGAAUCUGUGAAAACAUGGAUUUUUUUUCUCUCUGGAAGUAAAUUUUACUACAAUGCAUUUAUCCUAAUGCCGUGCCAUCAUGAGAGAGCAUAAAUGAGGAACUGCGAUAAUGGUAACUACAACAACCAAAGAGAAACCAUUGCUAAUCAGUCCCCACCAGCAGAAUAAGAUCCUAAUUCCUACUCAAGUUAUGUAUAUUUUUAUCCCUCCUUGGCAUCGACCAGGGCAAUCGCCACACUCUGCAUCAGUUAGCGUCCUCUGAGUUGCAAAUGCUGGGAUGGAAUUGGAUGGUCAAGAGGUUUAUUUGGAGAAAGUCCUAAGAAAGCUAAAG